CUAGCGGCUGUCAAUGAGACAGCCACUAGAGGCUGGAUUAACCCUAAUAUAAACAUAGCAGCUGAAGUGGUCUGGGUGCCUAUAGUGCUUUAAAAACCUUUCUACGAUAAUCGCCCCAAUCACCAAUUUGACACAUAAGGCAAUUAAAAGUACAUUAUGGCCAAAAGAAGUCAUGCCUUUCAACAACUCAUUUGCUUCAGCCCCUAUACUUGUUAAUCUUAAUCCCACCAGCUCUUUCAUAUUAGAAGUGGAUGCCUCUGAACCAGGGGUUGGUGCUAUACUGUCCCAGAGAGAAAGUCAUGACAAACCCCUGCACCCAUGUGGCUUCUUUUCUAAAAAGCUAUCACCAGCGGACAGAAAUUAUGACAUGGAUAACAGAGAGCUCUUGGCUAUCGUAUU